rnacentral:rRNA from 1 species
CGUAGGUGGCAAGCGUUGUCCGGAUUUAUUGGGUUUAAAGGGUGCGUAGGCGGUCAAAUAAGUCAGUUGUGAAAUACGGCAGCUCAACUGUUGAGGUGCAAUUGAUACUGUUUGACUUGAGUAUUGUUGAGGUAGGCGGAAUGGACGGUGUAGCGGUGAAAUGCUUAGAGAUCGUCCAGAACACCGAUAGCGAAGGCAGCUUACUAAAGAAUAACUGACGCUGAGGCACGAAAGUGUGGGGAUCAAACAGGAUUAGAUACCCUGGUAGUCCACACUGUAAACGAUGAUUACUCGAUGUGUGCGAUACACAGCACGCGUCUUAGCAAAAGCGAUAAGUAUCCACCUGGGGAGUACGCGGCAACGGUG